GCGAGUGUAGUCUAGCCUGGUUAGGACUCUGCCCCUCCAAGGCAGAGACCCGGGUUCAAAUCCCGGCGCUCGCA
rnacentral:tRNA from 1 species